GACGAACGCUGGCGGCGUGCUUAACACAUGCAAGUCGAACGGAAAGGCCCUGCUUUUGUGGGGUGCUCGAGUGGCGAACGGGUGAGUAACACGUGAGUAACCUGCCCUUGACUUUGGGAUAACUUCAGGAAACUGGGGCUAAUACCGGAUAGGAGCUCCUGCUGCAUGGUGGGGGUUGGAAAGUUUCGGCGGUUGGGGAUGGACUCGCGGCUUAUCAGCUUGUUGGUGGGGUAGUGGCUUACCAAGGCUUUGACGGGUAGCCGGCCUGAGAGGGUGACCGGCCACAUUGGGAAUGAGAUACGGCCCAGACUCCUACGGGCGGCAGCAGUGGGGAAUAUUGCACAAUGGGCGGAAGCCUGAUGCAGCAACGCCGCGUGCGGGAUGACGGCCUUCGGGUUGUAAACCGCUUUCGCCUGUGACGAAGCGUGAGUGACGGUAAUGGGUAAAGAAGCACCGGCUAACUACGUG
rnacentral:rRNA from 1 species